rnacentral:rRNA from 1 species
CUUGUACACACCGCCCGUCACACCAUGGGAGUGGGUUCACAGAAGUAGUUAGUCUAACCGCAAGGGGACGAUUACCACGGUGAGAUUCAUGACUGGGGUG